rnacentral:snRNA from 1 species
GUGCUCGCUUUGGCAGCACAUAUACUAAAACUGGAAUGAUACAGAGUAGAUUAGCAUGGUCCUGCACAAGGAUGGCAUGCAAAUUCAUGAAGUGUUCCAUAUGUUU